CCAAUAGCGUAUAUUAGUGUUGUUGCGGUUAAAAAGCUCGUAGUUGAAUUUCGGGAUUGGGAUAUAUCGGUCAUGACUUUAGGGACAUGAAUCGGUGUGUGAUCAAUUCUCACCUUCUGGUGAAUUGGGAUGCUCUUGGGUGUUUCGAUGAACUAAGACUUUUACUUUGAAAAAAUUAGAGUGUUUAAAGCAGGCAUUUUGCUUGAAUACAUUAGCAUGGAAUAAUAAAAUAGGACGGCAUGAUUCUAUUUUGUUGGUUUCUAGGAUCACCGUAAUGAUUAAUAGGGAUAGUUGGGGGCAUUAGUAUUCAAUUGUCAGAGGUGAAAUUCUUGGAUUUAUUGAAGACUAACUACUGCGAAAGCAUUUGCCAAGGAUGUUUUCAUUAAUCAAGAACGAAAGUUAGGGGAUCGAAGACGAUCAGAUACCGUCGUAGUCUUAACCAUAAACUAUGCCGACUAGGAAUCAGACGAUGUUAAUUUUUUAAUGACUCGUUUGGCACCUUACG
rnacentral:rRNA from 1 species